AAGUCCUAACAAGAUUUCCGUAGGUGAACCUGCGGAAGGAUAAUUCAAAAUAAAAGUGAUUUUAUGGCACUUUUAAAAAAAAUCCAUAUCCACCUUGUGUGCAAAGUAAUAAGAGGGAGAAGAACUUUUUUUUUGAUCUUCUCUCUUUUAAAUAUUAUAUCAACUUUUUGCUUUGAAACCUGUUUGUCUGAAAAAAAAAUAUAUUCUUUGAAUAACUCAAUUCAAAAAUACAACUUUCAACAACGGAUCUCUUGGCUCUC
rnacentral:misc_RNA from 1 species